GUAUGGCUACAACCAUGUCCUUCUAUAGUUACAGGCUUGUUGUCCUUGUCAAGUGACUGCUUAUUGACAGAUGUCAUUGUACCUCUAAUGUAAUACGGGUUUCAGCAGAGCCACAAAUCCAACACUUAUAUCUGAAUGUAUCGGAAUUUAAUGGAGACAGUGUUGUUACUAUGCAUGGAAGAUUUCAGUGUCCUCCUGAUACGACAGCAGAAUUUGAAGGGAAAAUCAUCAGCUUUGACAAAGUUUCGGACUCAAACGAUGGUUCAUCAAACUUUGAAAUGUUUCUCUUUGAUGACAG